rnacentral:rRNA from 1 species
ACAGCAGUCGCCGCGGGAAUACGGAGGAUCCAAGCGUUAUCCGGAAUCAUUGGGUUUAAAGGGUCCGUAGGCGGUCUUGUAAGUCAGUGGUGAAAGCCCAUCGCUCAACGGUGGAACGGCCAUUGAUACUGCAGGACUUGAAUUAUUGGGAAGUAACUAGAAUAUGUAGUGUAGCGGUGAAAUGCUUAGAGAUUACAUGGAAUACCAAUUGCGAAGGCAGGUUACUACCAAUUGAUUGACGCUGAUGGACGAAAGCGUGGGUAGCGAACAGGAUUAGAUACCCCGGUAGUCCCUGUCUCUUAUAA